CCUGCUGGAGGAGGAGGAGGAGGAGGAGGAGGAGGAGGAAGAGGAGGAGGAACCACCCCGGAUCCUUCUGUAUCACGAACCACGAUCAUUUGAAGUAGGAAUGCUGGUCUGGCUUAAAUACCAAAAAUACCCAUUCUGGCCAGCCGUGGUCAAGAGUGUCCGGCGGAGGGACAAGAAGGCCAGUGUGCUCUUCAUUGAGGGCAACAUGAAUCCCAAGGGCCGAGGGUUAGUGAUCACUCUCAUAGUUAGGGCAUGGGCAGGAGUGGGAAACCUUUGUGGUCCCCCUGACUAGAGCUGCCGACAUGGUCCAAAGUCCACAGUGUCACUUGGUAUCUCAGCCAGAUGGCUAGAACUGGCAGCUAGGACACACUGUCCCUGCAUGCUGUACCAGAGCAGAGCUACCGCAGACCAUGGUUCUUAGAGAACUGCCUCUGGCCAGUCCUCGCCCACAUCAGCAGCACAGUGAGCUGGCCAGCCUGUUCACAGUGGCCUCAGAGCCCCUUCCGGUACCUUCCAGAGGUGACCUUGGGCACCUGUGUGCACCCAGGGUGGCUGGUUGGAGUAGGGACCUGGGCCCCCAGUGCUAUGGAGGUGCUCCAGUCUAAAGCAGGGUUAAGUCUCGGAGGAGGGUCCCUCUCCUGGGUUGAAGCCAUCUGUGCUCACCUUGGCCUCUGCUCUGUCAAGAAUCACCGUGUCGCUGCGACGGCUCAAGCACUUUGACUGCAAGGAAA
rnacentral:lncRNA from 1 species